rnacentral:rRNA from 1 species
UCUACGGGAGGCAGCAGUAGGGAAUCUUUCACAAUGGGCGAAAGCCUGAUGGAGCAACGCCGCGUGCAGGAUGAAGGCCUUCGGGUUGUAAACUGCUUUUAUAAGCGAGAAAUAUGAUGGUAACUUAUGAAAAAGCAUCGGCUAACUCCGUGCCAGCAGCCGCGGUAAUACGGAGGAUGCGAGCGUUAUCCGGAUUUAUUGGGUUUAAAGGGUUGGUAGGCGGAAUAUCAAGUCAGCGGUAAAAAUUCGGGGCGCAACCCCGGCGUGCCGUUGAAACUGAUGUUCUUGAGUGGGCGAGAAGUAUGCGGGAUGCGUGGUGUAGCGGUGAAAUGCAUAGAUAUCACGCAGAACUCCGAUUGCGAAGGCAGCAUACCGGCGCCCAACUGACGCUGAAGCACGAAAGCGUGGGUAUCGAACAGGAUUAGAUACCCGAGUAGUC